AAUCGGGGCCAACUGAGGUGCAUGAAAAACUCUAGCUUGUGUUGUUUUGCUAGAAAACUCUCAACCAUGAACCUCAAAUGCUUGUGUAUGUUUUGCAGGCCAGUGAUUUCAUUCACACCCCGGACUACUCAUACCAACAUCAAAUUCUCGUCAUCCUGCUCCAAAGCCGUCGGAAGCGUCAAGGAGAUGGGUCUUAUUCUUCCUUGUGAUGGCGUUGAUGUGGUAGGUGCUGGACUUGUUGUUCCAAUCGCUGAGGGCAUUCUACAGCUUGGUGCAUGCCGAAGAAUUGUCCCGGCUGGUCUAAAAUCCUGAAGCACCUAAUUUUUUCGAGCAAUAUAAGGGAGGAAAACACAGAGGCGGGCGGCUGGAGCUCGUCUUUCUUCAUUUCAACCUCCGUUUGCAGGUUGAAGAGCUUCACCUCGUCCUGGUCCUUGCCAUCUCACUGUGCGACCAUGACCCCGGUUGCGAUCAACUCCCUGUGGUGGUGGCUCCAGGUCAUCAUCGAUUGUUGCUCUAGGUGCUAACAAGAAAGCUUGUUGGUGUCUAGGUUGAGGAUUGUUUGUUGGAGUGUCUGCCAAAGCAUCAGGCAUGGAGCUGAGGCGCGAUAUCACUGACGGAGCAUUGGCGGAUCUAGCGGUCUUCCCAAAACAACGUGGUCUGUCCGAGAGGGCAUGUUUCAAUACCAGGAAUUGGAGUUCAAGGCUGCUCCAGACUCGGUUCCUAUCGGUGCGGCUGUACCAGAGCCAGCGAAGGCAGAGGGAAAUGCCGGCUUCUCUCUUCCCAAGGCCACUGCUGCCUGUCUUAAUCUAGGUGGCUCUACCAUAUGAAGGUAUUUGGCGAGCUGAGCCUUCUUUGGCCAGUGGUAGCUGGACGUGAUGCUGGAUCUGUCAAAUGCCAUGGCGCUCGCGAAGGGGGAGAAGUGGAGUCGGCAUGUAUGCAGCGACAGUGAAGGACGCAUAGGUGGCCAGGAGGGAACCUUGGUUGCGGAAAGUAUAAUGCUUGUUCUGGAUAUGAGAACGGAUAGUGCUUCUCUGAUAUGGGCAGGUUGCAUGUGUCAAGUAGCUAAUAUAUAUGUUGGCAUAAUUUAGCUUGGUUAGUGAUUGAGUCAGUUUGGUUCCCGUGGCUGCUAGCAAGUCUGGCCGUAUAAUUGCAAUGUAACUUUCUCAGCUUUGCUCUGGUCUAAUAAUAUGCACUCUUUUUUU